rnacentral:rRNA from 1 species
AAUGAACGCUGGCGGCGUGCUUUACACAUGCAAGUCGAGCGAGGCGGGUAGCAAUACCCAGUCGAGCGGCGAACGGGUGAGUAACGCGUGGAUUAUCUGCCCUGAGGUGGGGGAUAACCCGGGGAAACUCGGGCUAAUACCGCAUAUGAUCGAGAGAUCAAAGGGGGCGCAAGCUCUCGCCACAGGAGGAGUCCGCGUUCGAUUAGCUAGUUGGUAGGGUAAUGGCCUACCAAGGCGACGAUCGAUAGCCGGCCUGAGAGGGUGAUCGGCCACACUGGAACUGAGACACGGUCCAGACUCCUACGGGAGGCAGCAGUGGGGAAUUUGCGCAAUGGGCGAAAGCCUGACGCAGCAACGCCGCGUGGAGGAUGAAGGUCUUUGGAUUGUAAACUCCUGUCAGCAAGGGAAAAAG